UACGGAGGGGGCUAGCGUUGUUCGGAAUUACUGGGCGUAAAGGGCGCGUAGGCGGAUAUCUAAGUUGGGGGUGAAAUCCCGGGGCUCAACCUCGGAAUUGCCUUCAAAACUGGAUAUCUUGAGUUCGGGAGAGGUGAGUGGAACUCCGAGUGUAGAGGUGAAAUUCGUAGAUAUUCGGAAGAACACCGGUGGCGAAGGCGGCUCACUGGCUCGUAUCUGACGCUCAGGCGCGACAGCGUGGGGAUCAAACAGG
rnacentral:rRNA from 1 species